UGGAAUUGGACCAAUCUCUAUCCCUCCCCACAGGAUGGUAUCAACAGAGUUAAAAGAGUUAUAAGGAUCAGUUGUAAGAGUUGGUAGUUAAGGGUUCCCAUCUGACUGAGCACUUCGCCUUGGGUUGUUCCAGUGUUGUUAUGAGGAUGAAGGAUGGAUCCCUAGGACUUUGUGUCGACCACUAGUCGUUGAACAAAGUCACUACCCAGAACAAGUAUUUGUUACCUUGGAUCGACGAUCUAUUUUAAGCCAGCUAGCAGGAGCUGGUUGCCUUUCCAAGAUAGAUCUGAAGUCUAGGUACCAUCAGUUAAGAUCAAGGAAGAAGAUGUAC
rnacentral:lncRNA from 1 species